CUUAAAUCAGUCUUUCAAUUCAUCAAAUUCGAUCUCGAUCGAUUUCCAUCAAUUCAUUCGCAGAGUAUUAAGAUAGACUUUGAAUCAUCUCGACAAUUUGGAGGCUUUCGGUGUUGUUCUGCAGCGAAUUGAGGAUAACUAAUGUCUUGUAAGUAGUCUACUUCUUGACCAAAUACUUAAAAAUGUUCAUGUCAUUGGAAACCAGGAUGUCUUGUAAGUGCUAGAUGCAUGUCAUUGGAAACCAGGAUUGCUUGGAAAACCAAAACCACUUGUUUCGAAAUAUGGCGUAAUGGUUGUUCACUUGGAUUAUGGUGAUUUAAUUAUGAGAAUUCAAUGGCUAAACACUUUUGGUCCAAUCCUGCAAGAUUUCUCUAAGCUACAAAUGGAAUUUCAGUCAAUGGAAAGUUGUUUGUUUUGAGAGGGGAUAUGUCCAACAAGGAGGUGAUUUAAUCUGUGUGUUUUUGUACAUGGACCAGUUCAACAAAUAUUUGGAGGCUCCUUUACAUGAUGUUUAUAGUUCACUUUUAGUUGUUUAUCAUUAUUAUUUUGAUCAUGGUGCAGAGGAACAAAGACUCAGUUUUGGAAUAGAAAACUCUACCACUUGAUAUAGAUGAUGAGCUUGAGAUAUAAACAUUUGAUUCAUCAGACACUUAUUUUCAUGUCUUCGAUACACAAGAUGCUAAACUUGAAUAACUAUCUUGUAAUAAUUGAGAUUACAAUACACUUAUUUUUCAUUUA